GACGAACGCUGGCGGCGUGCUUAACACAUGCAAGUCGAACGGAAAGGCCCUGCUUUUGUGGGGUGCUCGAGUGGCGAACGGGUGAGUAACACGUGAGUAACCUGCCCUUGACUUUGGUAUAACUUCAGGAAACUGGGGCUAAUACCGGAUAGGAGCUCCUGCUGCAUGGUGGGGGUUGGAAAGUUUCGGCGGUUGGGGAUGGACUCGCGGCUUAUCAGCUUGUUGGUGGGGUAGUGGCUUACCAAGGCUUUGACGGGUAGCCGGCCUGAGAGGGUGACCGGCGACAUUGGGACUGAGAGACGGACCAGACUCCUACGGGAGGCAGCAGUGGGGAAUAUUGCACAAUGGGCGGAAGCCUGAUGCAGCAACGCCGCGUGCGGGAUGACGGCCUUCGGGUUGUAAACCGCUUUCGCCUGUGACGAAGCGUGAGUGACGGUAAUGGGUAAAGAAGCACCGGCUAACUACGUG
rnacentral:rRNA from 1 species